rnacentral:rRNA from 1 species
GACGAACGCUGGCGGCGUGCCAAAUACAUGCAAGUCGAGCGGACCUCUUCGGAGGUCAGCGGCGGACGGGUGAGUAACACGUGGGCAACCUGCCUGUCAGACUGGGAUAACACCGGGAAACCGGUGCUAAUACCGGAUAACCCUUCUCCUCCACUGAGGGGAGCCUAAGGCCGGUUCCGCCGUUCCCUUACAGAUGGCCCGGCGGCGCAUUAGCUAGUUGGUGGGGUAACGGCCCACCAAGGCGACGAUGCGUAGCCGACCUGGGAGGGUGAUCGGCCACACUGGGACUGAGACACGGCCCAGACUCCUACGGGAGGCAGCAGUAGGGAAUCUUCCGCAAUGGACGAAAGUCUGACGGAGCAACGCCGCGUGAGCGAAGAAGGCCUUCGGGUCGUAAAGCUCUGUUGUCAGGGAAGAACACGUACCGGAGUAACUGCCGGUACCUUGACGGUACCUGACCAGAAAGCCACGGCUAACUACGUGCCAGCCGCCGCAGUAAUAC